rnacentral:rRNA from 1 species
GACGAACGCUGGCGGCGUGCUUAACACAUGCAAGUCGAACGGAAAGGCCUGCAGCUUGCUGCGGGUACUCGAGUGGCGAACGGGUGAGUAACACGUGGGUGAUCUGCCUUGCACUUCGGGAUAAGCUUGGGAAACUGGGUCUAAUACCGGAUAGGACAGCUGUUUAGUGUCAGUUGUGGAAAGUUUUUUCGGUGCAAGAUGAACUCGCGGCCUAUCAGCUUGUUGGUGGGGUAAUGGCCUACCAAGGCGUCGACGGGUAGCCGGCCUGAGAGGGUGUACGGCCACAUUGGGACUGAGAUACGGCCCAGACUCCUACGGGAGGCAGCAGUGGGGAAUAUUGCACAAUGGGCGGAAGCCUGAUGCAGCGACGCCGCGUGGGGGAUGAAGGCCUUCGGGUUGUAAACUCCUUUCGACAGGGACGAAGCGUAAGUGACGGUACCUGUAUAAGAAGCACCGGCUAACUACGUGCCAGCAGCCGCGGUAAUACGUAGGGUGCGAGCGUUGUCCGGAAUUACUGGGCGUAAAGAGCUCGUAGGUGGUUUGUCGCGUCGUCUGUGAAAUUCCGGGGCUUAACUCCGGGCGUGCAGGCGAUACGGGCUGACUUGAGUGCUGUAGGGGAGACUGGAAUUCCUGGUGUAGCGGUGAAAUGCGCAGAUAUCAGGAGGAACACCGAUGGCGAAGGCAGGUCUCUGGGCAGUAACUGACGCUGAGGAGCGAAAGCAUGGGUAGCGAACAGGAUUAGAUACCCUGGUAGUCCAUGCCGUAAACGGUGGGCGCUAGGUGUAGGGGGCUUCCACGUCUUCUGUGCCGUAGCUAACGCAUUAAGCGCCCCGCCUGGGGAGUACGGCCGCAAGGCUA